UAGAAUUCGGAAAAUUAAAAGAGUAGUAUUCAAAGGGAAACGUCAUGAAGUAAAAAGUUACUGUAGCAACAAUGUCUUCUAUGUUUUACGUAAUUAUAAUGGAAUUUCAGAGCUGUUCCCCGUCACUGGAGCUUUUCCAUUAGACAGUCGCCAAUAAAUGCAUAAUGUAAUCUUGAAAUAAUCCGCCUUACGUAAUAAUUCGACGAAACUGAUCGAUCAUUACGUGUAUCAUCCAAUCAUCGAGGCGGAGAAAUUAUUUAUCAAGAUAAAUUCAUUCGUCAAAUCCAGCUGAUAUUCCCUCAAUUCCUAAUCCUUCUCUAAUCAUCCAUUUUUCAAACCUCCU